GUAGGUGGCAAGCGUUGUCCGGAAUUAUUGGGCGUAAAGCGCGCGCAGGCGGUUCUUUAAGUCUGAUGUGAAAGCCCACGGCUCAACCGUGGAGGGUCAUUGGAAACUGGAGAACUUGAGUACAGAAGAGGAAAGCGGAAUUCCACGUGUAGCGGUGAAAUGCGUAGAGAUGUGGAGGAACACCAGUGGCGAAGGCGGCUUUCUGGUCUGUAACUGACGCUGAGGCGCGAAAGCGUGGGGGGAGCAAACAGGAUUAGAUACCCUGGUAGUCCACGCCGUAAACGAUGAGUGCUAAGUGUUAGGGGGUCUCCGCCCCCCCCCUUAGUGCUGCAGCUAACGCAUUAAGCACUCCGCCCUGGGGAGUACGGCCGCAAGGCUG
rnacentral:rRNA from 1 species